CCUACGGGGGGCUGCAGUGGGGAAUAUUGGACAAUGGGGGCAACCCUGAUCCAGCCAUGCCGCGUGUGUGAAGAAGGCCCUCGGGUUGUAAAGCACUUUCAGUGAGGAAGAACGCCUGGUGGUUAAUACCCAUCAGGAAAGACAUCACUCACAGAAGAAGCACCGGCUAACUCCGUGCCAGCAGCCGCGGUAAUACGGAGGGUGCGAGCGUUAAUCGGAAUUACUGGGCGUAAAGCGCGCGUAGGUGGCUUGAUAAGCCGGUUGUGAAAGCCCCGGGCUCAACCUGGGAACGGCAUCCGGAACUGUCAAGCUAGAGGGCAGGAGAGGAAGGUAGAAUUCCCGGGGUAGCGGUGAAAUGCGGAGAGAUCGGGAGGAAUACCAGUGGCGAAGGCGGCCUUCUGGACUGACACUGACACUGAGGUGCGAAAGCGUGGGUAGCAAACAGGACUAGAUACCCUAGUAGUC
rnacentral:rRNA from 1 species